AAGCUGUGUGCUCGAGAGGGAAACAGCCCGGACCGCCCGCUAAGGUCCCCAAGUUCCAGCCGAGUGGCAAAGGAUGUGCGUCCGCCCAGACAACCAGGAUGUUGGCUUAGAAGCAGCCAUCCAUUCAAAGAGUGCGUAACAGCUCACUGGUCGAGUGGACAUGCGCCGACAAUACACGGGGCUAAGCUGGACACCGAAGCGGCGGGAUUUUAUUCAUUAGAAUCGGUAGGGGAGCUUCCCAUGGGCGGAGAAGCCGGAGGGCGACCGACGGUGGAGCGCAUGGGAGUGAGAAUGCUGGCAUGAGUAGCGAGAGACGAGAGAGUAACUCGUCCGCCGUGAACCCGAGGUUUCCUGGGCAAGGCUAAUCCUCCCAGGGUCAGUCGGGGGCUAAGGCGAGGCCGGGAGGCGUAGCCGACGCGCAGCAGGCAGACAUUCCUGCACCGCGCACGCGGCGCUACGACCGACGGGGCGACGGAUGGGGGUGGCUCGGCGGGGUUCUGGACGUCCCCGUGAUGGAGCGCGGCCCGCGGACCAGGGAAAUCCGGUCCGCAGAAGGGCGAGGCUCCGGACGAAGCGACUGAGCGAAGCGAGUGAGCCCGAGGUCCCUAGAAAAACCCCUAGGCAGGCGCGUGCGCGCCCGUACCGCAAACCGACACAGGUGGGUGGGUAGAACAUACCGAGGCGAUCGGGUCAACCAUGGUCAAGGAACUCGGCACAAUGGCCCCGUAACUUCGGGAGAAGGGGUGCCCGCGCGUACGUGAACGGACUUGCUCCGGGAGCGGAGGCGGGCCGCAGUGGAGAGGCCCAAGCGACUGUUUACCAAAAACACAGGACUCUGCAGAAGCCGCAAGGCGACGUAUAGGGUCUGACGCCUGCCCGGUGCCGGAAGGUCACGCGGAGGGGUUAGCCGUUAAGGCGAGGCCCCGAAGCCAAGCCCCGGUAAACGGCGGCCGUAACUAUAACGGUCCUAAGGUAGCGAAAUUCCUUGUCGGGUAAGUUCCGACCUGCACGAAAGGCGCAACGACUUGGGCGCUGUCUCGACCAUGGACCCGGUGAAAUUGCACUGGUCGUGAAGAUGCGACUUACCCGCGGAAGGACGGAAAGACCCCGUGAACCUUCACUGCAGCUUGGCAUUGGCCGCUGGUCCCGCGUGUAGAGGAUAGGCAGGAGGCAUCGAUCCGGAGGCGCCAGCCCCCGGGGAGCCGCCCUUGGAAUACUGCCCUCGCGCGACCGGCGUCCUAACCCGAGGCCGUCAACCGGCUCGGGGACCGUGCCAGGCGGGCAGUUUGACUGGGGCGGUCGCCUCCUAAAGGGUAACGGAGGCGCGCGAAGGUCCGCUCGGGACGGUCGGCAACCGUCCUUUUGAAUGCAAGAGUACAAGCGGGCUUGACUGCGAGGCCCACAAGCCGAGCAGGUGCGAAAGCAGGCUCUAGUGAUCCGGCGGCCCCGAGUGGGUGGGCCGUCGCUCAACGGAUAAAAGGUACUCCGGGGAUAACAGGCUGAUCUUGCCCAAGAGUCCACAUCGACGGCAAGGUUUGGCACCUCGAUGUCGGCUCAUCGCAUCCUGGGGCUGGAGCAGGUCCCAAGGGUACGGCUGUUCGCCGUUUAAAGCGGUACGCGAGCUGGGUUCAGAACGUCGUGAGACAGUUCGGUCCCUAUCCUCCGUGGGCGCAGGAGAAUCGAUGGAGGCUGCCCCCAGUACGAGAGGACCGGGGUGGACGCACCUCCGGUGAACCGGUUGUCGACCAACGGCACGGCCGGGUAGCCGCGUGCGGCGCGGAUAACCGCUGAAGGCAUCUAAGCGGGAAGCCGUUCCAGGGAUUAGUUCUCCUUCCGGUAAGGGCCCAGGUAGACUACCUGGUCGAUAGACGGCAGGUGCAAGGACGGCGACGUCCUCAGCCGAGCCGCACUAAUCGCCCGAGCUCUUCCGGA
rnacentral:rRNA from 1 species